rnacentral:rRNA from 1 species
UAAAUUUUCAGCAAUGGAUGUCUUGGCUCGCGCAACGAUGAAGGACGCACCGAACUGCGAAACGCAAUGUGAAUUGCAGAAUUCAGUGA